rnacentral:lncRNA from 1 species
CCCCAAGCCUGGUGGACUCACCUGGAAGCAGAAAAAGUGAGAACUCCUGACCCACCGGAGGAAGAGUGUUUUAAAUGUGAAGGUAGCUGUUUUAGUCAUCAAGGUAAGUUGUAGUAACACAUAGAUCCCCAAAUCAUGGCACAAAAGAGCAGUGCAGGGGGGCUGCC